UACGUAGGGGGCUAGCGUUGUUCGGAUUUACUGGGCGUAAAGCGCACGUAGGCGGAUCGUUAAGUCGGGGGUGAAAUCCUGGAGCUCAACUCCAGAACUGCCUUCGAUACUGGCGAUCUUGAGUCCGGAAGAGGUGAGUGGAACUCCUAGUGUAGAGGUGGAAUUCGUAGAUAUUAGGAAGAACACCAGUGGCGAAGGCGGCUCACUGGUCCGGUACUGACGCUGAGGUGCGAAAGCGUGGGGAGCAAACAGG
rnacentral:rRNA from 1 species